rnacentral:rRNA from 1 species
AUACUGCAGAGCUAGGGAGUGGGAGAGGUAGACGGUACUCGGGAGGAAGUGGUAAAAUGCUUUGAUCUCUCGAUGACCACCUGUGGCGAAGGCGGUCUACCAGAACACGUCCGACGGUGAGGGAUGAAAGCUGGGGGAGCAAACCGGAUUAGAUACCCGGGUAGUCCCAGCUGUAAACUAUGCAAACUCAGUGAUGCAUUGGCUUGUGGCCAAUGCAGUAUUGCAGGGAAGCCGUUAAGUUUGCCGCCUGGGAAGUACGUACGCAAGUAUGAAACUUAAAGGAAUUGGCGGGGGAGCACCACAAGGGGUGAAGCCUGCGGUUCAAUUGGAGUCAACGCCAGAAAUCUUACCCGGAGAGACAGCAGAAUGAAGGUCAAGCUGAAGACUUUACCAGACAAGCUGAGAGGUGGUGCAUGGCCGUCGCCAGCUCGUGCCGUGAGAUGUCCUGUUAAGUCAGGUAACGAGCGAGAUCCCUGCCUCUAGUUGCCACCAUUACUCUCAGGAGUAGUGGGGCGAAUUAGCGGGACCGCCGCAGUUAAUGCGGAGGAAGGAAGGGGCCACGGCAGGUCAGUAUGCCCCGAAACUCUGGGGCCACACGCGGGCUGCAAUGGUAAUGACAAUUGGUUCCAAAUCCGAAAGGAGGAGGUAAUCCCCAAACAUUACCACAGUUAUGACUGAGGGCUGCAACUCGCCCUCACGAAUAUGGAAUCCCUAGUAACUGCGUGUCAUUAUCGCGCGGUGAAUACGUCCCUGCUCCUUGCACACACCGCCCGU